rnacentral:sRNA from 1 species
GCCAGGUGUGGUGGCUCACACCUGUAAUCCUAGCACUUUGGGAGGCUGAGGUGGGUGGAUCACCUGAGGUCAGGAGUUUGAAACCAGCCUGGCCAACAUGGUGAAACCCCGUCUCUA